AAUAAUGAGCAUCUGUCUCAAUUUAAAUGCUGUGAUUGUCCUAAGAUUGAUGUUUGCCAUGAAGGUGGAAGGCUAGACCAGAGACAAUAGAAUAAAAGGGUUCAGCAGUGCAGACUGGAUGUGCCUUGAAGAUUUUAUGUCAGAAAUCACGCAGUUUGAUUAGACUUGGAAUCAGUUAGCCAAAGAGAUGCUCAUCAGUUCUUCACUGAUUCCAGUGGCACUCUACCUGACAUUUCAAACAUCAGAGCAGACACCCUUCAGUUCCAGAGGUCUACAAGGUAGAGGCCCCUCCAGAAUUUUUUGUAACCACCUGCUGAAGUGCUGUGUUGGGCUUUUCAAGAUGAAGCCAAGACAGUAGCGCUGUUAACCUGUUUUGUUAGCAGAUCAUGCUGCUUUCCUCUGUCAGAAGUGCAAUGCUCUGAGGAUCAUUCCCAAGGUCAUAACCAGUGCUGCUCCUGUUGUGUGCUGUCAGUCGAUGAAAGCAACAGACAGACGCCUAAAAUUAUUCACCUAAGUAAGCAUAUGCAGAGAUGGGGGCAGAGCUGGGUGACAUUUCCAAGACAUCUUAUACAUAUCUUAAAACUUGCCCUGCAUAAGUGUGUGCUCCUGUUUCCUCUGUCUUGACUUUUCCUGGAUGUUGGCAGUGCUCUGCACAUUAAGGGUCAUGACUGCUUUAGGGGUCACAGGAGAGUUCAGAAGCUUGUGGAGGAUGUUUUACAAAAGCAGCAACAACAACAAGAGAUUAAUAAUAUGAAAAGCAAGUUGUGCUGUUUAGCCUUUGAUUAAAAACAGCAGCCCUUCAUUCAAACUCAGCAUUCAGAAGGGUUUUAUGAAGACAGAGGCGUGAAAGGACUCAAAGUUUUCAAAAGUCAAAAUUUUUAUUUCAUCUAAUUACCUGCCUAAAUGUGAGUGGGGGUUAGGCUAGCAGUGAAUGCAGAUGGAGAGCACACCUGCAGAAGGAGGAGGCCCUGCUCUGUGGGUUGUCUUCAUCCAGUCCACUCCACUUACUACUGCAAGUGAUCACAUGAGAUUUCAAACUCAAAUUUGGACCUCUUCAACUUCAUAGAUUUGGUUGUAAAAUUAGUCUAUAACCUAGCUUUAGAUAAAAGUGACCAGUAGUGACCUGUGUGAAUUGGCUCUAGUUACAAUAAAAUUUUAUAGGUCUAAAUAAGAUGUGGUUUAUAAAACUAAGGUAAAGUCAGGGUGAGCUGGAUGCCAAACAGAAGCAAAACUUAAUAAGUUGCUAUCACCUCUACUGCUUCUUUGGCUGUGCAAGUCCAAUGUGGUGAACUGAGUAGGAUGGUGGGGCAGAAGGGCAAGAAAAAGGAGGCCAGGACACCACAACUUCUCUGGUUUUGCAUGGAAAAAUGAGACAUUGAUGGCUGGCCCUUUCCAUGUGGAUGCUUUUUCAAGUUCAUUUUGGUUGAAUAUUUAGAUUUAAUGAAAGGUGAAAGUCUGAGGUUACCAGAAUAGUUAGUGAACCUUCUGCCAAUUAAAGGUUUUGCCCCAAAGACCACACCUUGCGAUGGCUGAAUUUCACUGCCACCCCUUCCAGAGUGUUUUCCCUCUGCUACCUUGUUAUUGUAGUGAUGGUGGCAUUGUAAAUUAUAGUCCCAGCUGGAUGAAGAACCCUUCUGAACUGAUCCUAGUGCUGUUCCCUAUAGUAUUGCUAAUGAUUACACAGCUGCCUUGUAGGCAUUCUAGAGCAUAGGCUCAUGGGUCUGUCUCCAGCACAAGUUGCAAUAAAGUUUAUUUUCAUUCAAAACAAUAUAUAUUGGGAU